rnacentral:lncRNA from 12 species
CGGCCCACCUCCCCGCGUGGACAAAUCCCGCGCCAGGACCCCGGAGGAGGCGCGGCGACUGCCGGGCACCGCGGAGGGACGGCUGACACGGCCGCAGUUCCCGGGGCUCUCGGGAGGUUUCUUUUUUUUCUUUUUUUUUUUUUUUUAAUUUAUUCAUUCAGAGAGAGAGGCAGAGACACAGGCAGAGGGAGAAGCAGGCUUCAUGCAGGGAGCCCGACUUGGGACUCGACCCCGAGUCUCCAGGAUCACACCCCGGGCUGCAGGCGGCGCUAUACCGCUGUGCCACCGGGGCUGCCCUCUCGAGAGGUUUCGGUCACCGCUCUUUCCCUCCCCGGCACGCACCGCACACUCCACAGCGGUUCAGCCCAGGAGCUCUCGCCUCCCGCACCCCCAGCCAGUAUCCGUCGCGACGGCGACGGCGACGGCGAAGCGGCUCUUCAGCCAGCACCCCACGCCUCCCUCUCCCUCUCCCUCUCCCUCUCCCUCUCCCUCUCCCUGUCCCUCUCCCUCUCUCCCUGCUUGGCUCUUCUCUGCUCGCGUCCGCGUCCUUCGGGCCAUCUUCCACCCCAGAGUCCCAGCCCGCGCGACCGGUUCCGUCCCGAGAAGGGGAUGUCCCCGGGUCGCGUUCACGGAAUAGAACCACCCCCGUUUCCUCGCGCGCGGUCCAACGCACGCACCCAAACGCCUGCAAACUGCGAUCUGCCGAGGCCUGUCGUGAGCCCUUGUGCCCUCCCGGUGCGUGCGCCCUUGUCGCGGUGCCGGCCACCCUCGCCGCGAGGGUCCCUUGGAUUCCGGGGAGCCAGGGACGGUGACUGCGAGAGCGCGGGCCGACGUUCUCGGGCAGCAUCUACUUCCCCCGUCUCGCCGGCGACCCCGCGUGGCGUCAAAGUUGGGUUCUCUGGGGGAGGGGGACAAGCGAGGAGCAGGGUGAGGGCCGGUCUUAGCGGAUGCCUGGGUGGCUCAGCGGUUUGGCGCCUGCCUUCGGUCUGGCCGGGGAUGUGA